AACGAACGCUGGCGGCAUGCCUAACACAUGCAAGUCGAACGAUUGCCUUCGGGUGAUAGUGGCGCACGGGUGCGUAACGCGUGGGAAUCUGCCCUUAGGUUCGGAAUAACAGCUGGAAACGGCUGCUAAUACCGGAUGAUAUCGCGAGAUCAAAGAUUUAUCGCCUGAGGAUGAGCCCGCGUUGGAUUAGGUAGUUGGUGGGGUAAAGGCCUACCAAGCCGACGAUCCAUAGCUGGUCUGAGAGGAUGAUCAGCCACACUGGGACUGAGACACGGCCCAGACUCCUACGGGAGGCAGCAGUGGGGAAUAUUGGACAAUGGGCGCAAGCCUGAUCCAGCAAUGCCGCGUGAGUGAUGAAGGCCCUAGGGUUGUAAAGCUCUUUUACACGGGAAGAUAAUGACUGUACCGGGAGAAUAAGCCCCGGCUAACUCCGUG
rnacentral:rRNA from 1 species